rnacentral:misc_RNA from 1 species
AAUGGACAAAAUCCCCCCAAAAGAAAAAUUGCUAAUAAUGCCAAUCAAGAAUUACCAAUUUACAAGAGCAAAAACAGAAAUGUCGACACCACUCUUCUGCUGAAUCCUUAAUUUAAGUAAUCCAUGGAGUGCCAUAUUCGUUGCCAAAUCCGCUGUUCAAAGAAUCUCAAUCUGUAUGACUCUAGCUAUAUAAAAACAUGCUCCACCAGCUAACAAUAAUUAGUCAAAGAAAUUGAAGCAACAACAGAUUCAUCAAAUGGAAUUGUGUCUUCAAAAUCCAGAAUGUGCUUUCAACAAUUGCCUUCUCUUGAUUAUUAAAAACGCCACAACACAGACCUGCAAGAUCGCGGCAAUGCCAACAAACAUUAACCCAAGUCUCUUCCCCCAAUUUAGCUUCGUUUCCUUUUGUGGUGGGCUUAAUUUAACAUUAGACUUAUGGUGGUCUUGAGGGUGGUGUGAAUGUUCCUUUUCUGAGGUUUUAAUCUUGGGAGGAGGUGGCGGAGGGGCUCUUUGAUUGGGUGGAGGAGGUGGCGGAGGGGCUCUUUGAUUGGGU